rnacentral:rRNA from 1 species
UACAGAGGGUGCGAGCGUUGUCCGGAAUCACUGGGCGUAAAGGGCGCGUAGGCGGCCUGCUAAGUAGAGGGUGAAAUCCUGCGGCUCAACCGCAGGGCUGCCUUCUAAACUGUCAGGCUGGAGCACGGUAGAGGCAGAUAGAAUUCCCGGUGUAGCGGUGGAAUGCGUAGAGAUCGGGAAGAACACCAGUGGCGAAGGCGGUCUGCUGGGCCGUUGCUGACGCUGAGGCGCGACAGCGUGGGGAGCAAACAGG